CCGCGGUAAUACGUAGGGAGCAAGCGUUGUCCGGAAUCAUUGGGCGUAAAGCGCGCGUAGGUGGCCUCAUAAGUCCGCUGUGAAAGUCAAAGGCUCAACCUUUGAAAGCCGGUGGAUACUGUGAGGCUAGAGUACGGAAGAGGCGAGUGGAAUUCCUGGUGUAGCGGUGGAAUGCGCAGAUAUCAGGAGGAACACCAAUAGCGAAGGCAGCUCGCUGGGACGUUACUGACACUGAGGCGCGAAAGCGUGGGGAGCGAACAGG
rnacentral:rRNA from 1 species